AUUCGGCUGACGAGUCCCAAAUAGGACGAAACGCGCGUUCUGGAU
rnacentral:hammerhead_ribozyme from 1 species